CUGCAUUGCUUGUUGUUGCGCUUCGGAGGCGGCGAUCCCCGAAGGCGAGCUGAAAUACGGCUGGAGCGUUCCCAGGCUACAGUUUGUAGCCGACGAUUGUGGAAGACUAGGAGCCGGAGAGGUGGCCCACCCUCAGGGAGCGCUUGUGCUCGGAGGGCUUCUCAUUUCCCCAAUACCACAUUAAAUCGUCUCAUCUGAGGAGGAUCCACAGAGCUGUCUUCUAUGGUAAUCUGGAGAAACUGGAGUACCUUCUGCUCACGUAUCAUGACACCAAUGAGAGAGACAAGGAGGAAAGCAUCCGGUGAAAGACAGAGAUCACAUUUCAACUAGAUUCUUAGGAAGUAUGGAUUCACUAACUUCAGCGAAGCUUACCCUGAAAGAAGCAGAUCCCAGUUCAAAAGUAGCCAUAAGAAGGAAGGAUUCACCACCUCCAGGAAAAGUGUCUUCUCAGAAACAACCAGCUGAGAAGGCUGCAAGUGACGAGAAAGAUUCUGUUUCGAAUAUAGCCACAGAAAUAAAGGAGGGACCAAUAUCUGGGACAGUGUCUUCUCAGAAACAACCAGCUGAGAAGGCUGCAAGUGACGAGAAAGAUUCUGUUUCAAAUAUAGCCACAGAAAUAAAGGAUGGACAACAAUCUGGGAGACAUAAUUUUGCAAAGCAGAUUUAAUGUCAUGUUCAGCCAAGAUAGACAAGAACUUCUCUUCCCCGAAUAAAUCAGCGGGGGACUCUUUGAAGCUGCACAUUCUGAUUCAGCAGGCCUGAGAUUCUACAUUUGUAUGUCUUCUCAGAAACAAUCGGCCUGGAAGGUUAUAUUUAAAAAGAAAGUUUCUCUUUUGAAUAUUGCCACAAGAAUAAUGGGUGGUCAGAAAUCUGGAACAGAGUAUCCUGAGAAUCUGCCCACCAUGAAGGCUACAGUUGAAAAUAAAGAUUCUGUUCUGAAUACAGCCACCAAAAUGAAGGAUGUACAAACAUCCACACCAGAAGAACAAGACUUAGAAAUGGCAUCAGAGGGAGAGCAAAAGAGGCUUGAAGAAUAUGAAAAUAACCAGCCACAGCAACUGGAUGAUGCUCGCAACAAAGCUGACAAUCAAGAAAAGGCAAUACUUAAUAUUCAAGCCAGAUGUGAUGCUAGAGUACAAAACCUUCAAGCUGAGUGCAGAAAGCGCCGUCUUUUACUAGAAGACAGUAAAAGGUUGGUAAAUGAAUUGAAUCAUUUGAAAGAAAAAGAACGCCAAUAUGAAAAAAAGCAAGCAGAAAGAGAACUUCAAGAAACACAGGAUCAACUUACAGCUACUAUAAGAUGUACUAAGGGGAUGGAAGGCGACGCACAAAAGCUUGAAGUAGAAAAUGCCAUGAUGAGAAAAACUAUUAAAAAACAGGAUGACCAAAUUGAGCGACUUGAGAAAAUCCUGCAGCGUUCAAGUUUGAUGCCACAGGUGUUCAAGAGCUAGAUGAAGUGCUUGUCCUAGUACCUUAGCACAUGGUUGCUGAAUACAUGAAUGAAGAGUGAGAAACCAGAAGCUCUGAUAUUUAACUGCCGUGAUAAUGAAUUCAAUGUGCAACUAUGGGCAAAUUGUAUUUAAUAGUAAUUGCAUAUUGUACAUAUUUUUCAUUCUUAUUAACACUGAUAAACUUUUCAACUUAUACUGACUUUAAUAAAAUUGUAUUACUAGGCUAUUAACAUGAUAUUUUGUUUCCCAUUAAAUGUGACAUGCAAAGACGUUUAUUAAAUGAAAA
rnacentral:lncRNA from 1 species